UACGUAGGGGGCAAGCGUUAUCCGGAUUUACUGGGUGUAAAGGGAGCGUAGACGGCAUGGCAAGUCAGAUGUGAAAGCCCGGGGCUCGACCCCGGGACUGCAUUUGAAACUGUCAGGCUGGAGUGCAGGAGAGGUAAGCGGAAUUCCUAGUGUAGCGGUGAAAUGCGUAGAUAUUAGGAGGAACACCAGUGGCGAAGGCGGCUUACUGGACUGUAACUGACGUUGAGGCUCGAAAGCGUGGGGAGCAAAUAGG
rnacentral:rRNA from 1 species